rnacentral:snRNA from 1 species
AGCUCCGUGCGGUGGCGGUAUCAUAGCCAAUGAGGUUAAUCCGAGGCACAAUUAUUGCUAAUUGAAAACUUUACUCUUUCACAC